rnacentral:rRNA from 1 species
UACGUAGGUGGCAAGCGUUGUCCGGAUUUACUGGGCGUAAAGGGCGUGCAGGCGGUCUGUUAAGUGCAGGGUGAAAGCUCCCGGCUCAACUGGGAGAGGUCCUUGCAUACUGGCGGACUUGAGGGGGGUAGAGGAAAGUGGAAUUCCUGGUGUAGCGGUGAAAUGCGUAGAUAUCAGGAGGAACACCGGUGGUGUAGACGGCUUUCUGGACCGUAACUGACGCUGAGACACGAAAGCGUGGGUAGCAAACAGG